rnacentral:rRNA from 1 species
ACUCAAAUGAAUAGACGGGGGCCCGCACAAGCGGUGGAGCAUGUGGUUUAAUUCGACGCAACGCGAAGAACCUUACCUGGGCUUGACAUCCCCGGAACCCUCUUGAAAGAGAGGGGUGCCCCGCAAGGGGAGCCGGGAGACAGGUGCUGCAUGGCUGUCGUCAGCUCGUGUCGUGAGAUGUUGGGUUAAGUCCCGCAACGAGCGCAACCCUUGUCGUCAGUUGCCAUCAUUAAGUUGGGCACUCUGGCGAGACUGCCGGUGAUAAACCGGAGGAAGGUGGGGAUGACGUCAAGUCCUCAUGGCCUUUAUGCCCAGGGCUACACACGUGCUACAAUGGCCGGUACAGAACGCCGCCAACCCGCAAGGGGGAGCAAAUCGGCAAAAACCGGUCCCAGUUCAGAUUGGAGUCUGCAACUCGACUCCAUGAAGGUGGAAUCGCUAGUAAUCGCGGAUCAGCACGCCGCGGUGAAUACGUUCCCGGGCCUUGCACACACCGCCCGU